rnacentral:rRNA from 1 species
UUGCUAAAGUUUAUAUGGAUAACCGUAGUAAUUCUAGAGCUAAUACAUGCUGAUACGCUCUGCGUAGUAUUUAUUAGACAAACACUAACGGGAGAGAUCCUGUGGAGGAAUCAUAAUAACUUAGCGAACUUCUUCGGAAGUGAAGCAUUCAAGUUUCUGCCCUAUCAGCUUUCGAUGGUAGUGUAUUGGACUACCAUGGCAAUGACGGGUGACGGAGAAUUAGGGUUCGAUUCCGGAGAGGGAGCCUGAGAAACGGCUACCACAUCUAAGGAAGGCAGCAGGCGCGCAAAUUACCCAAUCCUAAUUCAGGGAGGUAGUGACAAGAAAUAACAACGCGGGGCUUUGUCUCGUGAUUGGAAUGAGAUAAGUGUUAAAUACUUGUCGAUUAUCAACUGGAGGGCAAGUCUGGUGCCAGCAGCCGCGGUAAUUCCAGCUCCAGUAGCGUAUAUUAAAGUUGUUGCAGUUAAAAAGCUCGUAGUUGAAGUUCUGUUAGAAGGACUUUUGCGCUUCGGCAAUGAAGUCUUUCUAGCAUCCAUCUGAGUAACGGCCCUGGCAUUCAGUUGUUAUGGUCGGGAUCAGAUAGUUUACCUUGAGCAAAUUAAAGUGUUCCAGGCAGGCUUUGGCCUGAAUAGUCCAGCAUGGAAUAAUAGAAGAGGACUGAAUGUCAUUUAUUGGUGUUAUGGCGUUUAGUAAUGAUUAAUAGGGAUAGUUGGGGGCAUUCGUACUUAAUUGUCAGAGGUGAAAUUCUAUGAUUUAUUAAAGACGAACUUAUGCGAAAGCAUUUGCCAAGGAUGUUUUCAUUAAUCAAGAACGAAAGUUAAGGGAUCAAAGACGAUCAGAUACCGUCGUAGUCUUAACCAUAAACUAUGCCGACUAGAGAUUGGAGGUGCAACUCAAGUACUCCUUCAGCAUCUUCCGAGAAAUCAAAGUCUUUGGGUUCUGGGGGAAGUAUGGUCGCAAGACUGAAACUUAAAGGAAUUGACGGAAGGGCACCACCAGGAGUGGAGCCUGCGGCUUAAUUUGACUCAACACGGGGAAACUUACCAGGUCCAGACAUGGGAAGGAU